rnacentral:lncRNA from 1 species
UUGCAAACAGGGAGAGAGAUGCAAAGGAAGAAACUUUAGGAGGCAGUGGCAUCAAAAAUUAUCCAUUCCUCCAAAUAAUCUUGCAACAGUUCAGCCCGACGACCAAAAUAAAAAUAGGAAGCAAACUUUUGAAAGCGAAACGUGAACAAGUCUGGGAGUGCCCUAAUUUCGUUUCAUGGCAGUGGAUGCAUAUACACUUACUUUUGUGUCCCUUCCCUGGGAUAAGUGAUUUCAGAUGCCUGUAAAACCACAGCGUUCUGUUCUCCAAGGUGUGACGAUCCUAAAGAGGACUCCUCCUGCAGUGCCAAGCACUUCAGUAUAGUACCAGACAGAUCACUGGAGCACUCCUUCACUAAUAUGCAAAAACCAGGCUGGGAACCAAGGUCUGGCAAAGGUUAAUCUCCUGUAUGCAUCAAGACCGUAAGGGAAGUGACUGAAGUCCAGGGUUCCGUUGACACUUCUGUUCAACUUAUGACCAAUCAGAAGACUGCAUAAAUCCAGAAAGUAUGGUGCCAACCGCACUCACCGACUGAGGGCAUUAAUUCCAUACAAAGUGUUCCAUAACUGCUUUGAUGGGUAGCUGUUCCUCCAUUUCCUUCCAAAACUAAACCAUCACACCAAAGACACUGAAUACCAGAAGGGAGAGCUGUCCAUGGAUUUUUAUCAAACAGGCUAAACAUUUUGAGCCUCAGCACUGUUUGGGUUGUUUGCUUGUUGUAAUUUUUUUAUAUGAAAAUUAACUAAAGAUGAACGGGAAACAAGAUUUUAACAAUAUAGUAAGACUUCACCGCCAGUUGCUCCAACUUACUUAGAACAAACUGAGUUUUCCAGCAAAGAAAACAGUACUAGCACUAUAUCAAUCUGAAGUUAAAGAACAAAUGUCAGUCUAUUCUUGACAAACUCUUGCUUGCAUUUGUCUCUUUAGGACUCAGGCUCUUUGAUUCACUACGUUGUCCACCACGCACAGUAGCAUAAUGGAGUAGGGUGUCAGAGCCUGCCGUGUACCCCUCCACUUGCAGGGAUUCAGCUGCCUGUA